rnacentral:rRNA from 1 species
UAAUCGUAGAUCAGAAUGCUACGGUGAAUACGUUCCCGGGCCUUGUACACACCGCCCGUCACACCAUGGGAGUGGGUUGCAAAAGAAGUAGGUAGCUUAACCUUCGGGAGGGCGCUUACCACUUUGUGAUUCAUGACUGGGGUGAAGUCGUAACAAGGUAACCGUAGGGGAACCUGCGGUUGGAUCACCUCCUUACCUUAAAGAA